AAAGAUUAAAAACUUUCUAUGAAGAGAAUGCCAAAAUGAAAUGGCUACUAAAGAAAAUAUUUGCAUGAGAUGUGGCGAGGAAAUGGAAUUUAUCAAAAAUGUUCUCGUUUUCUAUCUUUUUGUUAGGGCUAUAAGGGGAGCAUCAAGGUUCAACUAUAAAUCUCGAGGGAAAGGAUUCCUAGGUUUCAAAUCUCGUAAGAACUAUAUUGUGACUUUUUCCCUUUCUUUUGGAUUUUUCUAUUAAAAAGUCUUAUCAAUAUUAUUUACUAGACUUUCUGGAAGGCUUGAAGUUGUCUUGUUUUUGAGGAUUUGAUAUUGACCUGGUCUCGAUGUGGAAUCACUUGCUUCAUGAUUUCAUUUACCUUGAUGACCUUGCGGAUAUAGUUACGGGUUCCUCUCUAGUUGUAUGAUCUCUAGCUCAAUGGCAAAAGCUAUUGGUUUCAAUUCUUAGUGCUUUCUUUUACCUUGCCUCUGGUAUGUUUGGCACUUGUGUUUUCUGUUGUGACCAUGUUGGUUGUUUGAUCAUUGGGGUCUUCAACCUUGUCCCCGCAACUGCUACCAAGGUUCAAGCAACAUGCUUCUUAGUUAAGGAUUAUGGAUGAUCAUGUAUUAUUUUAAGUUUGAUUGACAUAGCCUAAUCACUCAUCUCAACUCAACUUGAUUGAUAUCGUUCUUAUGGGAUUGAACAUGAUAUUCCAUGUUCUUUAAGCUAUUCCACAUGCUUUUUUUCUUUUUGUUGGUUGAAAGUUAAUGAAGUGUUGUUGAUUAGGUAACUACAAACUCUAAACUUGGUCGUAGCGGGGGAAUUUAGAUUGUGGGGCCAACUAUUUUUAAAAAUUAAAAAAUUUAUAGAAGCCAUGUAAACUAAUGCAUAAUAUUACUCGUAGAUAAAUCAAUGUAUUUGGUUAAAUGUAAAACUAUUACAAAACUAUUAAAAAUAAUAACUAAAAGAAAU
rnacentral:lncRNA from 1 species